rnacentral:rRNA from 1 species
UACGGAGGGUGCAAGCGUUAUCCGGAUUCACUGGGUUUAAAGGGUGCGUAGGUGGGUUGGUAAGUCAGUGGUGAAAUCUCCGAGCUUAACUUGGAAACUGCCAUUGAUACUAUCAGUCUUGAAUACUGUGGAGGUUAGCGGAAUAUGUCAUGUAGCGGUGAAAUGCUUAGAUAUGACAUAGAACACCAAUUGCGAAGGCAGCUGGCUACACAAUUAUUGACACUGAGGCUCGAAAGCGUGGGGAUCAAACAGG